UACAGCGGCGUCUUCUGGUCGUACGGGAGUUGAACUUUGUAACCCGGCGUGGAGAGUCGCCUUGAAGAUGUUUUCAGAGCGAGAAAACAGCAGAAAGAGGCUGAUGGAACUUCUGGACAAACCAGGAAAUAGUCACUGUGCGGACUGCUCAGCGACAGCUCCAGAGUGGGCAUCGUACACUCUAGGCGUGUUUGUGUGCCACAGCUGCUCAGGCCUUCACAGAAACAUCGCACACAUCAGCAAGGUGAAGUCUCUCCUGCUGGACCCAUGGACCACGGCACAGCUGGAGUUGAUGGACUCAGUGGGCAACCACGCAGCCAAGGCUACGUACGAGCAGACGGUCCCCGCGUUCUACUUUCGGCCCACUCACAAAGACUGUGCGCUUUUACGGGAGCAGUGGAUCCGCGCCAAGUACGAGAGGAAGGAGUUCAUGCUGGGGGGUAGGCAGGAGUCCUACUCAGUAGGCUACCGGGAGGGGUUUCUAUGGAAACGAGGCAAAGAUAACGGACAGUAUCUCAGCCGAAAAUUCGUCCUGUGCGAACAAGAGGGGGUGCUCAAGUAUUUCAACAAGCACGAUGGGAGAGAGCCCAAAGCGAUCAUGAGCAUCGCUACAUUGAACGCCACCUUCCAGCCCGUUAAAAUUGGCACAGCCCACGGUCUUCAGAUAAGCUACCUAAAGGAUGAGAACCCUCGCAAUCUCUUUGUCUACCACGAGGAUGGCAAGGAAAUGGUGGACUGGUUCAAUGCCAUCCGAGCGGCCAGAUUGAGCUACCUGCGGGUGGCCUUCCCCGGAGCUCCUGAGGCUGACCUGCUGCCCAAGUUAACCAGGGACUAUGUGAAACAGGGCUUUAUGGAGAAGACCGGUCCCAAGCACACAGAGGGCUUUAAGAAGAGAUGGUUCUGCAUGGAUGAGAGGAGGCUCAUGUACUUCAAAGAUCCCCUGGACGCCUACGCGCGAGGCCAGGUCUUCAUCGGCAGUCAGGAAAACGGCUACGACGUCCUGCCGGGUCUCCCGCCAGGUGUUCACAGCUCCCGCUGGCAGUACGGGAUCACCGUGGCCACGCCGGACAGGACCUAUCUUUUUGCGUGUGAGAGCGAGAAGGAGCGGACGGGCUGGAUAGCGGCGUUUCACACGUUCAUCGGCUGUCCAAUGCUCCCUCAAGAGUAUGCCGGUAUGUCUCCAGCCGGGUGGCCUCCUGCUUAACUUUAGUCAUCCAUUUGAAGAGAUUAUACACCCACAUGGACCUGAAGUUGAAAAGCGUGCAGCUCAGAGGAGGCGUCAGAUCCGGCAUCCGAUAGGUGCGGGCUCGGCGGCGUGAUAAGCAUGAAGCCACCAGUGGGAAAAGCAUCUCUGCUCAUUACUGCUUGCCCGCUGAGCAAUCCAAAUAUGCACAAAGCUGCUCUUUGGAGUGUGCACAUUUUGUGGAGGCCCGUUUUAAGCACCAACUUGACUAUUAGGAUCUUGACAACAAACUGGAGGAUGGAGCCAUUUUACCUGCCAGCGAGAGGAUGUCAUGCCUAAGUGAGGACAAGUCGGUUCCCAUCCGGCAACUUCAACGUGGCGGCGCAUGGGCUCUUUUCUGUUUGCUCACUUUUCAUUUGCAUAUGACUGCUUGAUGCCCUGAGGAACAUAAAACAAUGUUAUUGUUUGCAGUUGGGCUUCCCUAACCCUAACGCCAUAUUCUAGAGAGCAAAAAUGGCAGCUCCCACCCGUAGGCGAGUAAAUGCCAUGUUUUGAAUGUAGUCUUUUAGAAUACAUGCUUGGUAGAGUAAAGUUAAAAAAAAAAAAAACACUGUUCAGUAACUCAGUCAAUUUUUUAUUAAACUGGAAAUCUUGACAUGCUA